rnacentral:piRNA from 1 species
UUAGUAUUUUUUUUCUCCCGUAGUACCC